rnacentral:rRNA from 1 species
GUAGGUGGCAAGCGUUAUCCGGAUUUACUGGGCGUAAAGCGCGUGCAGGCGGUUCCGUAAGUCGGACGUGAAAGCUCCUGGCUUAACUGGGAGAGUGCGUUCGAGACUGCGGGACUUGAGGUCGGGAGAGGGACGUGGAAUUCCCGGUGUAGUGGUGGAAUGCGUAGAUAUCGGGAGGAACUCCAGUGGCGAAGGCGGCGUCCUGGCCCGUACCUGACGCUGAGACGCGAAAGCGUGGGUAGCGAACGGGAUUAGAUACCCCGGGUAGUCCACGCCGUAAACGGUGGAUACUAGGUGUUGGUGGCUAUCGUCAUCAGUGCCGUAGCUAACGCGUUAAGUAUCCCGCCUGGGGACUACGGCCGCAAGGCUA